GGCGUUGUGGCAGAGCGGUUAUGCAUCCGCUCGCAAAGCGGUGAAAGUGGGUUCGACUCCUGCCAACGCCU
rnacentral:tRNA from 1 species